AACGAACGCUGGCGGCAGGCCUAACACAUGCAAGUCGAGCGAGGACUUCGGUCCUAGCGGCGGACGGGUGAGUAACGCGUGGGAACGUGCCCUUUGCUUCGGAAUAGCCCUGGGAAACUGGGAGUAAUACCGGAUGAGCCCUUUGGGGGAAAGAUUUAUCGGCGAAGGAUCGGCCCGCGUUGGAUUAGGUAGUUGGUGGGGUAAUGGCCUACCAAGGCGACGAUCCAUAGCUGGUUUGAGAGGAUGAUCAGCCACACUGGGACUGAGACACGGCCCAGACUCCUACGGGAGGCAGCAGUGGGGAAUCUUAGACAAUGGGGGAAACCCUGAUCUAGCCAUGCCGCGUGAGCGAUGAAGGCCUUAGGGUUGUAAAGCUCUUUCAGCUGGGAAGAUAAUGACGGUACCAGCAGAAGAAGCCCCGGCUAACUCCGUG
rnacentral:rRNA from 1 species